AGAGUUUGAUCCUGGCUCAGGAUGAACGCUGGCGGCGUGCCUAAUACAUGCAAGUCGAACGAACUUCCGUUAAUUGAUUAUGACGUGCUUGCACUGAAUGAGAUUUUAACACGAAGUGAGUGGCGGACGGGUGAGUAACACGUGGGUAACCUGCCCAGAAGCAGGGGAUAACACCUGGAAACAGAUGCUAAUACCGUAUAACAGAGAAAACCGCCUGGUUUUCUUUUAAAAGAUGGCUUUGCUAUCACUUCUGGAUGGACCCGCGGCGCAUUAGCUAGUUGGUGAGGUAACGGCUCACCAAGGCGAUGAUGCGUAGCCGACCUGAGAGGGUAAUCGGCCACAUUGGGACUGAGACACGGCCCAGACUCCUACGGGAGGCAGCAGUAGGGAAUCUUCCACAAUGGACUCAAGUCUGAUGGAGCAACGCCGCGUGAGUGAAGAAGGGUUUCGGCUCGUAAAGCUCUGUUGUUAAAGAAGAACGUGGGUGAGAGUAACUGUUCACCCAGUGACGGUAUUUAACCAGAAAGCCACGGCUAACUACGUGCCAGCAGCGGCGGUAAU
rnacentral:rRNA from 1 species